rnacentral:rRNA from 1 species
GAUGAACGCUGGCGGCGUGCCUAAUACAUGCAAGUCGAGCGAACGGACGAGAAGCUUGCUUCUCUGAUGUUAGCGGCGGACGGGUGAGUAACACGUGGAUAACCUACCUAUAAGACUGGGAUAACUUCGGGAAACCGGAGCUAAUACCGGAUAAUAUUUUGAACCGCAUGGUUCAAAAGUGAAAGACGGUCUUGCUGUCACUUAUAGAUGGAUCCGCGCUGCAUUAGCUAGUUGGUAAGGUAACGGCUUACCAAGGCAACGAUGCAUAGCCGACCUGAGAGGGUGAUCGGCCACACUGGAACUGAGACACGGUCCAGACUCCUACGGGAGGCAGCAGUAGGGAAUCUUCCGCAAUGGGCGAAAGCCUGACGGAGCAACGCCGCGUGAGUGAUGAAGGUCUUCGGAUCGUAAAACUCUGUUAUUAGGGAAGAACAUAUGUGUAAGUAACUGUGCACAUCUUGACGGUACCUAAUCAGAAAGCCACGGCUAACUACGUGCCAGCAGCCGCGGUAAUACGUAGGUGGCAAGCGUUAUCCGGAAUUAUUGGGCGUAAAGCGCGCGUAGGCGGUUUUUCAAGUCUGAUGUGAAAGCCCACGGCUCAACCGUGGAGGGUCAUUGGAAACUGGAAAACUUGAGUGCAGAAGAAGAAAGUGGAAUUCCAUGUGUAGCGGUGAAAUGCGCAGAGAUAUGGAGGAACACCAGUGGCGAAGGCGACUUUCUGGUCUGUAACUGGCGCUGAUGUGCGAAAGCGUGGGGAUCAAACAGGAUUAGAUACCCUGGUAGUCCACGCCGUAAACGAUGAGUGCUAAGUGUUAGGGGGUUUCCGCCCCUUAGUGCUGCAGCUAACGCAUUAAGCACUCCGCCUGGGGAGUACGACCGCAAGGUUGAAACUCAAAGGAAUUGACGGGGACCCGCACAAGCGGUGGAGCAUGUGGUUUAAUUCGAAGCAACGCGAAGAACCUUACCAAAUCUUGACAUCCUUUGACAACUCUAGAGAUAGAGCUUUCCCCUUCGGGGGACAAAGUGACAGGUGGUGCAUGGUUGUCGUCAGCUCGUGUCGUGAGAUGUUGGGUUAAGUCCCGCAACGAGCGCAACCCUUAAGCUUAGUUGCCAUCAUUAAGUUGGGCACUCUAAGUUGACUGCCGGUGACAAACCGGAGGAAGGUGGGGAUGACGUCAAAUCAUCAUGCCCCUUAUGAUUUGGGCUACACACGUGCUACAAUGGACAAUACAAAGGGCAGCGAAACCGCGAGGUCAAGCAAAUCCCAUAAAGUUGUUCUCAGUUCGGAUUGUAGUCUGCAACUCGACUACAUGAAGCUGGAAUCGCUAGUAAUCGUAGAUCAGCAUGCUACGGUGAAUACGUUCCCGGGUCU